rnacentral:rRNA from 1 species
UACAGAGGGUGCAAGCGUUAAUCGGAUUUACUGGGCGUAAAGCGUGUGUAGGUGGCUUCCUAAGUCGGUUGUGAAAUCCCUGGGCUCAACCUGGGAAUUGCAGUCGAUACUGGGAAGCUAGAGUUCGGUAGAGGACGGCGGAAUUCCACGUGUAGCGGUGAAAUGCGUAGAGAUGUGGAGGAACACCGAUGGCGAAGGCAGCCUUCUGGGCCAACACUGACGCUCAUGCACGAAAGCGUGGGGAGCAAACAGG